GCCUCGGUAGCUCAGCCUGGCUAGAGCACAAGUCUCAUACGCUUGGGGUCGGGAGUUCAAAUCUCCCCUGAGGCA
rnacentral:tRNA from 1 species